rnacentral:rRNA from 1 species
GUAGGUGGCGAGCGUUAUCCGGAUUUACUGGGUGUAAAGGGCGUGUAGGCGGGACUGCAAGUCAGAUGUGAAAACCACGGGCUCAACCUGUGGCCUGCAUUUGAAACUGUAGUUCUUGAGUACUGGAGAGGCAGACGGAAUUCCUAGUGUAGCGGUGAAAUGCGUAGAUAUUAGGAGGAACACCAGUGGCGAAGGCGGUCUGCUGGACAGCAACUGACGCUGAAGCUCGAAAGUGCGGGUAUCGAACAGGAUUAGAUACCCUGGUAGUCCACACAGUAAACGAUGAAUACUCGCUGUUUGCGAUAUACAGUAAGCGGCCAAGCGAAAGCAUUAAGUAUUCCACCUGGGGAGUACGCCGGCAACGGUGAAACUCAAAGGAAUUGACGG